UGGUUAUCCGUGGAACUGGUCUGUAUGA
rnacentral:piRNA from 1 species